GAUCAUGGCUCAGGACGAACGCUGGCGGCGUGCUUAACACAUGCAAGUCGAACGGAAAGGCCCUGCUUUUGUGGGGUGCUCGAGUGGCGAACGGGUGAGUAACACGUGAGUAACCUGCCCUUGACUUGGGAUAACUUCAGGAAACUGGGGCUAAUACCGGAUAGGAGCUCCUGCUGCAUGGUGGGGGUUGGAAAGUUUUCGGCGGUUGGGGAUGGUACUCGCGGCUUAUCAGCUUGUUGGUGGGGUAGUGGCUUACCAAGG
rnacentral:rRNA from 1 species